CCCAAACCUUGCUGUAACUUUAGUAAAAACCCUGCUGAUUUGAAAUUCGGGGCUCUCAAUCCUGAUCCGCUGCGCCGGUGACAGUUGUGAGUCCCUGCUUGAGCUCAGCUAAAUGACCCUUGUGUGUUUGCAUCGGAAUCGGCUCCUUGGUGGUCUUCGGGGACUUCGCGAUCUGGGCACAACGCGAUAACUCUGAUUGAUUCAAUAAAUAGCAGUAAUCUGGCCACCCUUUACAAAUCCUUGAUAUCCACAUAACAUUAUAGUAGUUAAAUCUACUGCUCCUACAUCAAUAUCAGUGUAGCUUACCUCCUGGGCAUCAGAAACUGAAGCUAGAAGAUCAAAGCUAAAAAAGAUAACUGGGCUAAAAAGAUAGCCAAUUUAUUUUCUCUUACACUCUAACAUUACUAGGAACCAGGAUGUUGUGUGGCCCAUCUAAAAGGAUCCUACAAGUAGGGUGAGUCAUCCAACCUCCUGAACAAAGAGCUUAUUGCUCACAGAGGAUGUGAAUCAACCAGCGUACAUUGUGCUCAAAGAAGGGUUACUAAAGAGGGGAAUGCCCUCAUGCUUCCAAGAAAAAACCAUGUAGUCAACCAAAGACAGUGGUGCAUCCUAGGUGACACAACUGCUACAGAAAAACCUAAAAGAGCUGUGAGCUAACUUGACUUGCUUAGCACCGUUUUCAACCCAGGGAGACUGAGUUGAAUUUAAAGGAGUGGAACAUGAAUUUAAAGAAUGGAGCACCACAGGUAAGAUUAAGGUAUUGACACGUAGCCUAUAAAUGCAUGGUAGCAGAGUCUGCUUACAUACAGCAAGCCUAGAUAUGAUAUUUGGAGCUGGUGGGCCAGGCUAGAAAAAGGGUAGGAUUAGCAUGCACUGGAG
ensembl:lncRNA